rnacentral:rRNA from 1 species
UCAGGUCAAAAAAUUAAUCAUGACAAGUCCUCAGUGUUCUUUAGUAAGGGAUGCCCAGAAAACCUGAGGGAGGAGGUUAUGACUUCUCUCGGUGUUACUAAAGAAGCCUUAAAUGAUAGAUACCUUGACAUGCCGUCUGAUGUUGGUAAAUCCAAAAAUGGUACUUUCAAGUAUCUCAAAGAUAGAGUCUAGAAGAAAGUACAGGGGUGGCUUGAAAAGUUGUUAUCAGUUGGAGGCAAAGAGGUGUUGAUCAAGUCUGUCGUUCAAGCUAUUCCGGUAUACUCAAUGUCGUGCUUUAAACUCCCAAGGGGCCUUUGUGAACACAUCAAUUCGAUCAUCCGCAAAUUCUGGUGGAGAAGCAAGAACGGAGUUUGA